rnacentral:rRNA from 1 species
UACGUAGGUGGCAAGCGUUAUCCGGAUUUAUUGGGCGUAAAGGGAACGCAGGCGGUCUUUUAAGUCUGAUGUGAAAGCCUUCGGCUUAACCGGAGUAGUGCAUUGGAAACUGGGAGACUUGAGUGCAGAAGAGGAGAGUGGAACUCCAUGUGGAGCGGUGAAAUGCGUAGAUAUAUGGAAGAACACCAGUGGCGAAAGCGGCUCUCUGGUCUGUAACUGACGCUGAGGUUCGAAAGCGUGGGUAGCAAACAGG